UACGUAGGGGGCUAGCGUUGUCCGGAAUCAUUGGGCGUAAAGAGCGUGUAGGCGGCCCGGUAAGUCCGCUGUGAAAGUCGGGGGGCUCAACCCUCGAAUGCCGGUGGAUACUGUCGGGCUAGAGUGCGGAAGAGGCAAGUGGAAUUCCCGGUGUAGCGGUGAAAUGCGCAGAUAUCGGGAGGAACACCUAUGGCGAAGGCAGCUUGCUGGGACGGUACUGACGCUGAGACGCGAAAGCGUGGGGAGCAAACAGG
rnacentral:rRNA from 1 species